UGCUCCAUGAAUAAUAAAUAGCCGCAGUAAUUUAACUGUGCUAAGGUAGCAUAAUCAUUAGCCUUCUAAUUAAAGGAUAGAAUGAACGGUAAGACGUGUAGGAAAAUGUCUCCAAUACUAAAAAUGAAACUCACAAAAGAGUAAAAAGGCUCCUAUGUAAAGGAAAGACGACAAGACCCUAUCAAACUUAAUUUUAAAUUAUGCUGGGGCGGCACUCAAACAAAAACUUAGAAAAAUAACAAAACACAACUAGCAAAGCUAACAAAGAAACAAGUUACUGUAGGGAUAACAGCGUAAUUCUUUCUUAAAGCUCUCAUCGAAGAAAGAGAUUGCGACCUCGAUGUUGAAUAGCUACCUAAUAGGCGCAAAAGCUUACUUAAGGUGGUCUGUUCGACCAUUAAAAAGAUAC
rnacentral:rRNA from 1 species